rnacentral:rRNA from 1 species
GCCUACGGGCGCAGCAGUGAGGAAUAUUGGUCAAUGGGCUUACGCCUGAACCAGCCAAGUCGCGUGAGGGAAGACUGCCCUAUGGGUUGUAAACCUCUUUUGUCAGGGAGCAACGCCGGCUACGUGUAGCCGGACUGAGAGUACCUGAAGAAAAAGCAUCGGCUAACUCCGUGCCAGCAGCCGCGGUAAUACGGAGGAUGCGAGCGUUAUCCGGAUUUACUGGGUGUAAAGGGGGCGCAGACGGCAAUGCAAGCCAGGAGUGAAAGCCCGGGGCCCAACCCCGGGACUGCUCUUGGAACUGCAUG